rnacentral:lncRNA from 1 species
GAAAAAUCUAAUUUUAAUCGUCACCAAAUAAUUUUCUACAGGGCGAAAGAGCCGUGAAGUAUCCUCUAUGAGUGUUCUCCAAGAAUAUACUCUUUUUCGUUUACUUGCUAAUAUAUUUAUAUAUACAUGUAUAAAUCUAGUAGAAGCUUAAUAGAGCCUCUCUCUUGUUUUUUUAUAGUUGCCCUGAACUGAAAGUGCCAAAGAAAAUGGCAGAAACAAAGAAAGCAGAGCUUGUUUUCAUUCCUGCUCCAGGGAUGGGUCACUUGGCAUCGACUAUUGAGAUGGCUAAGCUUAUCACUGAUAGAGAUGAACGCCUCUCAGUCACUGUCUUCAUCUUGAAGUUGCCAAUGGAGCCGAAGACUUUGUCCCUAAAAUCCAAUUCGCGAAUACGUUACAUAGAAUUUUCUCUUGACCAGCCCACCACGCCCAACAGCUUUCCCUCACAAUUCGUCGAAAGCCGCAAGGAUUCCAUGAGAGAUGCUGUAGCGAAAAUAGUCCAUGAUGAGUCCAACUCGAUUAGACUUGCUGGAUUUGUAAUUGAUAUGUUCUGCACAACCAUGAUCGACGUAGCCAAUGAGUUUGGGGUCCCAACUUAUGUCUUCUUUACAUCUAGUGCAGCAGUGCUUGGCUUCAUCUUCCAUGUGCAGUGUCUCAGCGACGAACAGAACCUGGACGUCACUGAGUACAAGAACCCGGAUGCUGAGUUAUUGGUUCCAACGUAUAUAAAUCCGGUUCCUGGUAAAGUGUUUCCUUCUCCAUUCUUCGAAAAGGAUGGCUUGUUCUUCAGCCUAGCGAGACGGUUUAGAGAGACCAAGGGAAUUAUGAUAAACACCUUCUGGGAUUUGGAAGCCUAUGCAACGAAGUCCCUCUCUGAUGAUGAGAAUAUCCCAUCGGUCUACUCAAUAGGCCCGAUACUUCAUGUUAAGGCUGAAAGCGACAACAAAGAAUGUGAUGAGAUCAUGAAGUGGCUGGACGAACAACCUGUUUCUUCUGUUGUGUUUCUUUGCUUUGGAAGUAUGGGAUAUUUUGAUGGCGACCAGGUUAAAGAGAUUGCGAUUGCACUUGAGCAGAGCGGCCACCGGUUCUUGUGGUCGUUGAGAAAGCCUCCUCCCAAAGAUAGGUUCGAAUAUCCAUCAGAGUACGAGAAUCGUGACGAAGUAUUGCCAGAAGGGUUCUUGCAACGCACUGCAGGGACCGGAAAGGUUAUUGGAUGGGCACCACAAGUGGCUGUCUUAUCUCACCCUUCAGUGGGAAGCUUCGUGUCGCAUUGUGGGUGGAACUCAACACUGGAAAGUGUCUGGUGUGGAGUGCCAAUAGCAGCAUGGCCGAUGUAUGCCGAGCAGCAAGUUAAUGCAUUCGAGUUGGUGAAGGACUUAGGAAUUGCUGUGGAGAUUAAGAUGGAUUAUAGGAGGGGCAGUGAUACAAUUGUGCCGGCAGAAGAAAUAGAGAAGGGAAUCAGGCGCCUAAUGGAGCCUGAGAGUGAAAUGAGGAUUAAGAUGAAACAGAUGAAACACGACAGUCGAAUGGCUUUGAUGGAAGGUGGCUCGUCUCAUGAUUUCUUGAGACGUUUCAUUGACAAUGUCAUCGAUAAUAUUCCAUGAUGGAUUUGUUUUUCAGGUGAUUAACUGGUAUGUCUACGACACUGGACAGUGUUGAUAAAGAAAAAAUGAGUUUAUGCCAGCAGUGAAGAUGAAGCUUAUGGUUAUUUAUAAAAUUCUAUCUUUUGAAGUCCAAGAUAUACUUUUGAGUAUUUUACUAUCCUAUGAGCAUAUGUUACAAUAAAGUAAUGUUAUUUAUCUUGUGAUUUGGUGCAUAUACAAAAACUGUUUUUCACUCACAUUUUUGCUUGAGAUCAUUUGAUAAUUAAUAUUUGAUUAUAAGUCCAAGAUUGAUUACUAUGACUCUGUUCUUAUAUCUU